rnacentral:lncRNA from 1 species
ACUACACCAUUUGCUCCAUUUUCUGAGAAUUUCUCAGUGGAUGCUUUAAAAACCAAGGAUGAAUUCAGCAUCUCUAUUUUAUGUGGAAGCUGUUCUCAGCAUCAUUUGUUUUCUUACUUGGGUGGAAAAGAUAGCUGGCCUCCCCUGCAGCUAGGUAAGAUCAUGUAAUGGAAUUCUGGCCAAUGGAAUAUGAGUGGAGUUAAUGUGGGUAACCUCCAUGAUGGGCAAAGAAACACCUCCCAGGAAAAAGUCUUGAUUUUUCCUCAUGUCUGCUGACUACAUAUCGACUCUUGAAUAGACUUGAGUAUCUGCUGUUGAAGGAUGCAGAGGCUCUGUCAGCCUGGGCCCCUGAGUGACUUCAUGGAGUAUACCAUCUCUCCAACUGGAUUUUAUCUUUCAGUGGUUCAGUUUUUCUCCACUGUUUCCACCAAAAUACCAUCAACAGUAAGGAAGAACAAUGUGGACCACCAGAAGGCUGGAGUGUUUUCUGAAGCUGCUCCUGCUUGGACUUUGGUUGGAAGUCGUGAUUGUCUGAGGGUUCAUGCUGGCGCUCCCCCAGUGAACCUAGCUCACCUACCCUCUGCUCUGGCUCUAGUCUCUCUUCCCUUCUUCUAAGGGAGGCUACUGCUGUGCUCAGUGCGGAGCUGGGUUCAAGGAGAGCUGGGGCUCUGAAGGAGUCGUGGGGAGAAGGCUGACAUGAGUCCUGAGUGAGUGGACCUGCUCUCUCUGGCCCUGAAGGGGUCAAGAGGCAACUGGGUGUGUGGGCUGAGUCUUUCCUGGCCCUGAAGCUGGAAGUAGAGGCUUUGUGCAGGAUCCUCAGCAGGGGACUAAAAGCCUGUGCUUUCAUAACCCGAGCCACACUGGCAAGUGCGCUGCCUCCUCCCACCUUUGAGACAGUUGCCUUCAGGAGCACAUCUACCAGAAGCCAACAAAGAAAAGCAACAGCCUCUUGGAGGGGCCUUUCUCCAGGGAGAGAAGGGUGAGGCAGCACAGGCAGAGCUGGUGUAGGAGACACAAGACAGUAUGAAUUUCAAAAUCAGAGCAUUGAAGGAGAUUCAAAUAUGGCACAAAAAGAGUUUCUGGAGCUAAAAAUCAUAAUUUCCUAACUAAAUACCAUUCAGUAGAUUAACUGAAAAAGUGGAAGAUCACCGUGAAGAUAUGGUCAGCUCUCCUGGAGGGUCAAAGGGCAGACAGACCCCUUGAUGAAAAGGGUGGUAUAGAGCAAAUGUAGAAAGAGAUGGGAAGCAAGUAGAAAUGGGUAAGGAACAUGGGAUGGAUCCUAAAACCUUGACUUGUGAAUAGAGAAACCUUGACUUGCAGAAAGAGGAAAAAAUAGAACCAACGGAGGAGAGGUGACCAUGAUACUAACAAUAAAAGAAAACUUCCCUGAAC